rnacentral:rRNA from 1 species
GACGAACGCUGGCGGCGUGCUUAACACAUGCAAGUCGAACGGAAAGGCCCUGCUUUUGUGGGGUGCUCGAGUGGCGAACGGGUGAGUAACACGUGAGUAACCUGCCCUUGACUUUGGGAUAACUUCAGGAAACUGGGGCUAAUACCGGAUAGGAGCUCCUGCUGCAUGGUGGGGGUUGGAAAGUUUCGGCGGUUGGGGAUGGACUCGCGGCUUAUCAGCUUGUUGGUGGGGUAGUGGCUUACCAAGGCUUUGACGGGUAGCCGGCCUGAGAGGGUGACCGGCCACAUUGGGACUGAGAUACGGCCCAGACUCCUACGGGAGGCAGCAGUGGGGAAUAUUGCACAAUGGGCGGAAGCCUGAUGCAGCAACGCCGCGUGCGGGAUGACGGCCUUCGGGCUGUAAACCGCUUUCGCCUGUGACGAAGCGUGAGUGACGGUAAUGGGUAAAGAAGCACCGGCUAACUACGUGCCAGCAGCCGCGGUGAUACGUAGGGUGCGAGCGUAGUCCGGAUUUAUUGGGCGUAAAGGGCUCGUAGGUGGUUGAUCGCGUCGGAAGUGUAAUCUUGGGGCUUAACCCUGAGCGUGCUUUCGAUACGGGUUGACUUGAGGAAGGUAGGGGAGAAUGGAAUUCCUGGCGGAGCGGUGGAAUGCGCAGAUAUCAGGAGGAACACCAGUGGCGAAGGCGGUUCUCUGGGCCUUUCCUGACGCUGAGGAGCGAAAGCGUGGGGAGCGAACAGGCUUAGAUACCCUGGUAGUCCACGCUGUAAACGGUGGGUACUAGGUGUGGGGUCCAUUCCACGGGUUCCGUGCCGUAGCUAACGCUUUAAGUACCCCGCCUGGGGAGUACGGCCGCAAGGCUAAAACUCAAAGGAAUUGACGGGGCCCCGCACAAGCGGCGGAGCAUGCGGAUUAAUUCGAUGCAACGCGUAGAACCUUACCUGGGUUUGACAUGGAUCGGGAGUGCUCAGAGAUGGGUGUGCCUCUUUUGGGGUCGGUUCACAGGUGGUGCAUGGCUGUCGUCAGCUCGUGUCGUGAGAUGUUGGGUUAAGUCCCGCAACGAGCGCAACCCUUGUUCACUGUUGCCAGCACGUUAUGGUGGGGACUCAGUGGAGACCGCCGGGGUCAACUCGGAGGAAGGUGGGGAUGACGUCAAGUCAUCAUGCCCCUUAUGUCCAGGGCUUCACGCAUGCUACAAUGGCUGGUACAGAGAGUGGCGAGCCUGUGAGGGUGAGCGAAUCUCGGAAAGCCGGUCUCAGUUCGGAUUGGGGUCUGCAACUCGACCUCAUGAAGUCGGAGUCGCUAGUAAUCGCAGAUCAGCAACGCUGCGGUGAAUACGUUCCCGGGGCU